UUCGUUCCAUCGCGAUGAUUCUUCGAUGUUUCUGUUAAUGUUCCUCGAUACUGCGGAUUGUGGAUGGCACGCGCGAUAUUGUCCCGACAAAGGAACCGAGUGGAGGGGAGCACACCGAGUACGCGAAAUGUCGCGCCCAACCUUUUCCAGGAAACCUCGACGCGCAGAAUUCUCCAUAAGUAGUCCAAAAUGUAAACAUGAUCUGAUGUAAAUAUGAAACUCGAGCGAUUCUUCGAAACUUUCGAAUAUUCUUCUCAAGGAAAAAGGUUGAACGUCUGAAUUGACGCGGCGAGUGAAGCAUAUUCACGCCAGGAUACACAUAACGGCGGCAUGCCAUAAUUAACAGUAGCUACGUUUGUACGGAAAAGAGAAAGAAACAGAAGAAUGAAAUGGAGAACAAUCGGCCUUUGUGACAUGCCUGUACAAACGGUGCACCGUGUUCCUUGCGUUUCUCAACCUUUCCUCUUCCCUUCGUCCUUUCGUCGCUAUGUGAUUCACCUCUUCGCUGUGCUCGAAUCUGCGAGAUCAAACGAAAAAGAUACGUCCAUUGAAUUUGGAAGCUGCAG